rnacentral:lncRNA from 1 species
CGGCGGGGUGGGCGUGCACCUUCCCUCCCAUUGGCUAUCCUCUCCCCCGCUCCGCUCGCCGAUUGGCCGCCCCACGCGUCCCUUGGGGGGCCGUGGGCGGAAGCGUGGCGUACGGCGGCCGCGGAGGCUGGGGGCCGCCAUGUAACGCGCCCGCCGCUCCCCGCCUCAGCGCCGCCUCAGCGCCGCUUCCCCGAGCCCCCCCCCUCACCCCCGGCCGCCUCCUGCCGCCCGCCAUGGGGGCCUGGAGCCCGGCCCGGCCAUGAAGGGCGGCGGGGGGACCCGUUCCCACCUUCUGCCCGCCGCCAGGGGAGCACCGCGACGCCCGGGGACCGGCGGGGCUCCUCCUCGCAGUGGCUCCUGGACAAGGCAGCAAGCACCCCGUGGGCGAGCCGUGCCGGGUGCCCGCGGGGUGCAGUCCCUGGCGUUGCUUUCUCUUCGCUUUCUCCUCCUCGUCCGCAGGGCGAGCGCGCUCCCUGCGCCAGGCGCAGCCUUCCCGGCGGAGCUGCGCCUCCGUGCUUUCGCCCGGCCUGUUUAUUUUUAGGGGCUUUAGCGCCUGUUUGCGGAGAGGAGUUGUUCCAUCGUCAUGGCAACCCGGCUGCGUGUCUCAUAAACAUUAUUCGAGGGAACCUUUUCCAGCUCGAUCGAGGCUUCCUUUCCGUAACGAGGUUAGGAUCGAUGUGAAACGCCGAGCCUGUUGCUCGUGGUGCAGGGACACGGCCUCUUGUUCCUUGACGCGGAUGCUUUUACCCUCAGCCGGUUCCAUCUGCUGCUGGUAAACGUUCCCCGCAGCCUCUGCGAUGGCAGAGGAGGAGGAAAAGCAAAGUGUAAUCCACCGAAAGAGGAGCUCUCAUACAAUUACUUCAUGGCUUAUUAGAGGCAGUCACAUCAGCGUUAGAAACAAACCAAGUGCCAGAUAAAAAAAAAUGGAGUGUCUUUGAAGUUUGCCAUUCUUUUCUUUCCCUGACCGUUCCCAUGCUACCAAAAGGUGGGGAAGGCUAGAAAAUGCUAACUCGGGACACACAGUGCUCCUUUCUCAGACAGGAGUUAAAAAGAUGAAACAAACUGCUCCUAAACCCCAAAAUAUUUGCUAAUACCUCAAUUUCGUAUAAACUCACAGCUUGAUUUUCGAGCCAAGAGCGGAGAAUUUAUUGCAGCGUUUGUUUAAAGUAAAUAUGCCUGUCAGACUUGGAGAGGGAUUAGGCAAUGAAAACUGUGGAGCAGCUCUUAUCAUGAGGACAUCCUCCAGCGUUUCCUUCCAAGGAGCUUCCUGCCCUGAUAACCACGGCUUCUCCUUCAGAACGAGCUGAUUUUCCUGACUGCCUGGGAAACAACAGCGCCGUGAAUGCCAGGGCCAAGGGGAAGGCUGGAAUUUACUGGGGGCUGGGAUUUUUUUUUAAUCUUAUUUACCUGAUUUUGUUAUUUAGUGGAGAAGGUACAGUUUGAGUGCCUCUUGGAAAGCUACCAGGGUUUGGAAACCUUAAUGAUGGUGCUGCAGAUGGGAAAAUCUGCCUCUGAUUUAAUUCCUUGCAAAUGGGAACUUGGAUUUACACGCACAGCAGUCCCUUAACAGGUAGUUCACCUGUCUUCAGGAAGGAAGCAAGCAAGCAGCAGUAGUUCAGGUGUCCUUACACUGCUCCGUGUGUCCCAGAGGCAGGCUGUGUCCCGCUCCUAGCACUCCAAAGAGGCGGAUUUUUGGCCAGAGUCAAAAUCGGUAAAACCCUGACACGAAUAGCUCAGGUGAUUCACCUUCCCAGGGGCUUGAGAGUGUUUUAUGAGAGGUGUGUUGGUGCAGGGACGUUUGGAGUGCUGGGCUAAUGAAAUUGUUGCUUGAUUGUGUGCUGAUGACCACUUAAUUGCGGAGUUCAUUAGUGCUGUUCCCACUCCUCGUCCCGUUAGGAAAAUAAAAGGAACAGAGGGAAUAGGGCA